rnacentral:misc_RNA from 1 species
UCUCCGUUGGUGAACCAGCGGAGGGAUCAUUACAGAGUUGCAAAACUCCCAAACCAUUGUGAACGUUACCUAUCCCGUUGCUUCGGCGGGCGGCCCGGGCCCCGCGCCCGGCGCCCCCCGGCCCCCCGUGGGAGCCCGCCGGAGGUAAACCAAACCCUUGAAUUGCAUGGCCUCUCUGAGUCUUCUGUACUGAAUAAGUCAAAACUUUCAACAACGGAUCUCUUGGUUCUG